rnacentral:tRNA from 1 species
GCGCAUUUAGUGUAAUUGUAUCAUAGUACCCUCCCACGGUACUGACCGGGGUUCAAUCCCCGAAUACGCA